GAUAAGAAUGCUAGAUUAAAAACGAUGCGCUCGGCUGCCAUGAAAAAACGAUCCGAAGAAUCUGAGGGUGAAAGGGUCGCCAGGUUACAAAGAUUGACCUCUAUCGCCGUAAUUAGGAAAAUGGACAAAUUUCAGGAAGAAAGAGGAAGGCAAAUAUACGCUCAAAAGCAGCAUUUAUGCGGCUACGUUAAUCGAGUUGUAAGCAAAAUUCUGCAUUUACCAAUAAUCCAUCUACAUUGUACGAAUCAGACACUGAUGUAGUGAUUGGGUCCAUGUCGACAAUAUGUUGUCACUGUAAAGCUCUCAGAUUUAAAGAUAAGAG
rnacentral:lncRNA from 1 species